AACGAACGCUGGCGGCAGGCUUAACACAUGCAAGUCGAGCGCCCCGCAAGGGGAGCGGCAGACGGGUGGGUAACGCGUGGGAAUCUACCCAUCUCUACGGAAUAACGCAUGGAAACGUGUGCUAAUACCGUAUACGUCCUUCGGGAGAAAGAUUUAUCGGAGAUGGAUGAGCCCGCGUUGGAUUAGCUAGUUGGUGGGGUAAAGGCCUACCAAGGCGACGAUCCACAGCUGGUCUGAGAGGAUGAUCAGCCACACUGGGACUGAGACACGGCCCAGACUCCUACGGGAGGCAGCAGUGGGGAAUAUUGGACAAUGGGCGCAAGCCUGAUCCAGCCAUGCCGCGUGAGUGAUGAAGGCCCUAGGGUUGUAAAGCUCUUUCACCGGUGAAGAUAAUGACGGUAACCGGAGAAGAAGCCCCGGCUAACUUCGUGCCAGCCGCCGCCGUAAUAC
rnacentral:rRNA from 1 species